rnacentral:rRNA from 1 species
CCUACGGGAGACAGCAGUAGGGAAUAUUGCUCAAUGGGGGAAACCCUGAAGCAGCAACGCCGCGUGGAGGAUGAAGGUUUUCGGAUUGUAAACUCCUGUUGUUAGAGAAGAGAAUGACGGUAUCUAACGAAUAAGCACCGGCGAACUCCGUGCCAGCAGCCGCGGUAAUACGGAGGGUGCAAGCGUUAGUCGGAAUCACUGGGCGUACAGAGAGCGUAGGCGGGAUCGCAAGUCAGAUGUGAAAUCCUAUGGCUUAACCAUAGAACUGCAUUUGAAACUGUUAUUCUAGAGUAUGGGAGAGGUAGGUGGAAUUCUUGGUGUAGCGGUCAAAUCCGUAGAGAUCACGAGGAAUACUCAUUGCGAAGGCGACCUGCUAGAUCAUACCUGACGCUGAUGCGCGAAAGCGUGGGGAGCAAACAGGAUUAGAUACCCUUGUAGUC